CAACAACGGAUCUCUUGGUUCUGGCAUCGAUGAAGAACGCAGCGAAAUGCGAUAAGUAAUGUGAAUUGCAGAAUUCAGUGAAUCAUCGAAUCUUUGAACGCACAUUGCGCCCCUCGGAUUUCCGGGGGGCAUSCCUGUUCGAGCGUCAUUGCACC
rnacentral:rRNA from 1 species